UACGUAGGGUGCAAGCGUUAUCCGGAUUUAUUGGGCGUAAAGGGCGUGUAGGCGGGAGCGCAAGUCAGAUGUGAAAACUCAGGGCUCAACCCUGAGCCUGCAUUUGAAACUGUGUUUCUUGAGUGCUGGAGAGGCAAUCGGAAUUCCGUGUGUAGCGGUGAAAUGCGUAAAUAUAUGUAAGAACACCGGUGGCGAAGGCGGCUUGCUGGGCCUGUACUGACAUUGAGGCACGAAAGCGUGGGGAGCAAACAGG
rnacentral:rRNA from 1 species